rnacentral:lncRNA from 1 species
GGGAAUGAAAAUCGAAACUCACUCAAACUUCACGCUCUAUUGCAACAAAUGUAUGUAAGGAUGCCAUUCCAUUUAUCUUUUUUUUUUUGGAUAAAGAAACUGGACGUUGUUUUAUAAAACCAGAAAUCAAAUAAAUAAAACAAUAAAUUAUUGUUCUAUCAUCGACAUUUUUUUAUCCAAAUGAUUUCAUACAACUACCCUCGGAACAGGCAGAUCUGAAGAUUGCAGGAAUAUCAUACCAAAAUUACUAUACUCAAACACAUCUAAAAGUAAAAGAUGUCACUCAUCUAACCUAAUUGUCAGCCACUUUUGCAACUUGCAAUUGAACAAUGUGCAUUCAUAUAGCAAAAUUGAUGAAUCAACCUUACAAAAAAUUAAAGAUGUUCAUGCCGAACAUGAGAAUUCCUAGAAUCUAUACACAUCACAAUGUUAACAGAUGUGAAUCUUCUAACCUAAUUUUCAUUGUAAAGGAUUAAAAUUGAAGAUCUGCAUGCUAUAAGGAGUAAAGAGCUUGUUGAAUAAGACGAUCAAGGAUGCGCUUCGCUUCCACGCACCACCAUUCAUUGCUCGCCGAACUAUAACAUGUUUCAACUUCUCUUGCUUUUCUCUUUGUCC